AGGCAGGGGCGAGGGGCUGCGGGAGGAGCCGAGCGAGGCUGCUGCUUUCGCUUCUCCUGUCUCCCCUCCCUCUCUUU
ensembl:miRNA